AAGUUUUUAUCUGAAUCCGAGGAUGACUUCCCACUGCAUAAUCUCCAGACUCAAAGCUCGGAGGUUGGAAACUGGGGCCUUUGAAUCGCAAAACUAACAGCUUGAGCACUUCUGAGAACAAAACAAACUACAGAAUGAAAACCCGGGCUGAUUGGAUUGUCUGGUGUUCUGCGGCCGCCGGUUGUUGAUGCGCAAUCCUUCUGAAGCCACAAGGGUCUGUUGGCAACGCUGUCAUUCACUGAUGUCUGAUGUUCUCACCGCGUUUUGAGGGCGGACCAGAUGGCUGGAGGCGCUGGAGAGAGUCAACUCUGACACUUGUCGGCAACACAGCUCACACCACUGCAAGGAGACGGGAGGUGAGGACAGAACAUCCCGUGCUGCCUGAGAAAGUUACUGCUCUCCUGCAGCACUGGGUCUGCUUUGAUCUUAGACACCUCAUCUUCGAGGAGCAGAUUUUACCGUUCUGCUCAUAUCAAAGUAGAUUGUGAAGCUUAACCAGGUGGAAAAUGAUCCCAAGAGGAGAGGGGAGCAAUUUUUUAUUUAUUUUUUUGUGGUUGGAAGCUGACUCUCUUUAUUACUUAACCGCGCUCCUUCAAAUCCUCAGUCCAAUUUUUUUGUUUUCAUCUAUCGUAGUUGAUGAGGAUGACUCUGUCUGAGCUUAAAGUCAACCCACAGUGAGUCCAAACUGUGUCUUAUCUCACAUGAGAAAGAGUGGAGCAGAUCAGACAUGAGUGCAUGUUUGCGUUUGACUUGUUUGAGGGCCGCUGAGAGGUCAACAUGUGCAGCUGAGCUCGUCUUUAGGACAGCAACCGACGUCACUGGUGCAGAAACUGUUAUACUUGGCCCGCAAAACAUAAACUUCAUACUCCGACUUCCGUUCAGGAUGGAAGAAUUCUGGCAAGAAAAAGGGCGUAAUGGAAUAUUUUUAGAAGACUGUGAUUCUUUUUUCUGAAAGCCUCGGAGAGACAAAGGCAUUUACGACACAUCUACUCUGAGCACAGUUUUCCAGAAACGAGAUCUUUUGGGAAUACGAAUGAGCCAUAAAACUUUGAAAGAAGGCCUGCACGCCUAGCGCUUUUGGCCAUCAAAAUCAUGUGAGGGGGGAAAAAAGCCAAAUAUCCAGCUUCCUUAUUUCCUGUAGAGAAAUUGGUUAGAAAAGUUUUCUAUCUAGAGAAACGCAGCAGAUAACGAGUCACAGACUAUCAGCGUUUCACUUCUGCAGCAUAUAGUGACAGCAGACAACUGCAUUAUUCUAUUGACUUUACAGCAAUCCUUCAUACUGAGCAUGAAAGUAGCAACAAGUGUUGUGAUUAACAUAAAACAAGAACAGUUUAAAUAAACCUUUAAAAACACAAUGUCACUUUGACUGUAAUCUACAGCUGCAUAACCUUUCAAACCAUACAACUGCAAGAGAGUUAAACUACAUCUGAAUUCUCAUCUUGAAGCUUAAGUUGCAUAUUCAAAGAAACCCAGAAGAAACAGAUUUUUAUCUCAAUGACAGAUCAAGUAAAAUUGUGUUUAGUGCCGUCUUCUUUUUGCCAGAACAAUAACAAUGUAAAACUCCUUUUGAAACUCAAAGUUGUAUGGAUGUUGAAAUGUUAAAUAAACCCAUUUUCUCCCCUCUAUGUCUAACUUUGAACAAAAAGCUUUUAUUUGAAAUAAGUUACGUGUAUUUGCUUUUGUACGUAAUCAUUAGCACUGAUUUCAUUGCAAAAAAUUAUUCUGGUUCACCUAUUAUCUAAGUAGAUAGAUAAUAGAUAAAAAUACUUAACAGAGUUGUUUUACUUUAUGUAUUCACAAACACGUGUUUAUCUAAAAUCUAUUUAUGUAUUUAUUUUUAUGCCUUUGAUUAUUAUGUAUUUUAUCUGGAGACAGGUAAAGCACUCCAUACAAAAGAAAGCUCCAUCCAAGCAUAUUAUUAAAACUUCAACUGGAAACAAA